rnacentral:rRNA from 1 species
UAACGCGUGGGGAACCUGCCCCGUACCGGGGGAUAACACCUGGAAACAGGUGCUAAUACCGCAUAACAGAAGGGGACGCAUGUUCCUUUCUUGAAAACUCCGGUGGUACGGGAUGGACCCGCGUCUGAUUAGCUGGUUGGCGGGGUAACGGCCCACCAAGGCGACGAUCAGUAGCCGGCCUGAGAGGGCGGACGGCCACAUUGGGACUGAGACACGGCCCAAACUCCUACGGGAGGCAGCAGUGGGGAAUAUUGCACAAUGGGGGAAACCCUGAUGCAGCGACGCCGCGUGAGUGAAGAAGCGUUUCGGCGCGUAAAGCUCUGUCAGCGGGGAAGAAACACGGUUCGCGAGAGCCGCGGACGGUACCCGACCAAGAAGCCCCGGCUAACUACGUGCCAGCAGCCGCGGUAAUACGUAGGGGGCAAGCGUUAUCCGGAUUCACUGGGUGUAAAGGGAGCGUAGACGGCGAGACAAGUCUGGAGUGAAAGGCCGGGGCCCAACCCCGGGACUGCUCUGGAAACUGCCUGGCUGGAGUACAGGAGAGGUAAGUGGAAUUCCUAGUGUAGCGGUGAAAUGCGUAGAUAUUAGGAGGAACACCAGUGGCGAAGGCGGCUUACUGGACUGUAACUGACGUUGAGGCUCGAAAGCGUGGGGAGCAAACAGGAUUAGAUACCCUGGUAGUCCACGCCGUAAACGAUGAUCACUA